rnacentral:rRNA from 1 species
CAGCACCUCAAGUGGUCAGGAUGAUUAUUGGGCCUAAAGCAUCCGUAGCCGGCUCUGUAAGUUUUCGGUUAAAUCUGUAUGCUCAACAUACAGGCUGCCGGGAAUACUGCAGAGCUAGGGAGUGGGAGAGGUAGACGGUACUCGGUAGGAAGGGGUAAAAUCCUUUGAUCUAUUGAUGACCACCUGUGGCGAAGGCGGUCUACCAGAACACGUCCGACGGUGAGGGAUGAAGGCUGGGGGAGCAAACCGGAUUAGAUACCCGAGUAGUCC